GAGCCCGGGCGUUGGUGGCGCAC
rnacentral:piRNA from 1 species